AAGUCGUAACAAGGUUUCCGUAGGUGAACCUGCGGAAGGAUCAUUAUUGAAAUAAACCUGAUGGGUUGUUGCUGGCUCUCCAGGGAGCAUGUGCACGCCUGUUCAUCUUUAUAUCUCCACCUGUGCACCUUUUGUAGACCCUCCCGGGGGUCUAUGUCGCUUCAUCCACCCCAAUGUAUGUUAAUAGAAUGUGUGUGCAUAUGAAAUCUAUACAA
rnacentral:misc_RNA from 1 species